GAAGGUGGGAGCGACGACUGCAAAGCGGCAGCGAUGGGGGAGGCUUGCUGCUCCUCCGCGGCCGUUACAGAGAGCGGGGCUUCUGCGGCCGCUACGGUUUCCCUGGGGCCAGGUUGCUUCGCAGAGGGCUCUGGCCCUGAGUCCGAGGGGGACCGCGGGGUCCAGGGGCGAUGAAUGCUCCCGCAACCUUCGGAGCUUGUGCGCGUACUUCAGGGACCGGCACCACGUCACCGUCGCCUCCUGAGUAGUGAGUUCCCCUCUGAUGAGACCACUGUCUGAAAAUUCAAAAGAGAAGCAAUUCAAAGGAUUUUCAUUUACUUCUUUCCCCUCUAAUCUGCACAAAAGGUUAAAUGUAGCAGUGCAACAGUUCUGGCCAUCAAAAUAUGAUUAUUGUACUUUAAAAGCAGCCAUGAGAACUCUGCUCUUUGAUAGACUUCAACUUAGAACAACUAAGGAAUAAUCCAAUUCCAGAGGAGAUUAGGAGUUGGGUGAGA
rnacentral:antisense_RNA from 1 species